UAAAGAGAAACUUUCCCUCGUGUAUUUGGUUACACAGUGGUGCUUGAGACAUGCACAAAUCUAUGUGGUUUUCUUCUCCUUAUUUAUCGGUUUUCAAAAUGACAAGUUGGUGUAACCUUCGCUAGUGGUGACCAGUGAGGUUUUCUUUUAAAAUAAUAAACUAAAAAAAAAAAAGUAAUAAUAAUAAUUAAUGAAAAGAGCCCCAUUAUUAGAAGAGCUAAGGAUGUUGAAAAGUACAGUUAUUUUGGUAAGUUUUAUCAGUAAACCUAAAUAUAACUUACCCACUGAUCGAGGCCAGGGAUUGAACCUGCCUCCUCAUGGAUACUAGUCAGAUUCGUUUCUGCUGCGCCACAACGGGAACUCCUAUUUUAGGACUUUGUAAGGGGAAAAGCAAAAUCUGUCUCUUAAAUACUAGCACAGGAGUUCUCUUGUGGUGUAGUGGGUUGAAGAGCCAGCAUUGUCACUGCAGUGACUUGGGUUGCUGCUGUGGUGCAGGUUUGAUCCCUGGUUCAGGAACUUCCACAUGCCAAAGGUGUGGCCAAAAAAAAAGAAAUGGAAUUCCAUGAGGUUGCAGGUUUGACCCCUGGCCUCACUUAGUGAGGUGGGCUGUGGUGUAGGUGGCAGACACGGCUCGGGUCUGGCAUUGCUGUGGCUCUGCUGGCCUACACCAGAGCCACAGCAAGGCCAGAUCCCCGACCCGCUGAGCAAGGCCAGGGAUUGGACCUAUGUCCUCAUGGAUCCUGGUCAGGUUCGUCAUCUCUGAGCCACAAUGGGAACUCCAGAUUUUUUUUUUCCUUUUUGGCCACCCUUGGCACAUGGAGUUCCUGGGCCAGGGGUCAGAUCCCAGCCACAAUUGUGACCUACAUGUAGCUGCAGCAACACUGGAUCCUUUAACCCUCUGUUCCAGGCCAGGGAUUGAACCUAUGUUCUGGCACCACAGAGACGCCAGUCCCCUUGUGCCACAGUAGAAACUCUGAUCUUUUUAUUUAUUUAUUUUUUUAAGGUAGGGCUCCGCACAUUUCAAGAUUGUUGUGGUUGACUAUUUGUAAAGGAGUUCUAGUUAGCUUUCUAACUUAAAAAAAAAAAAAAACCACUCUGAGACCUCAUGUGGGGGCUGAAAUGAUCUAGUUCUAUCAUGUUCCCUCGUCUCCAUAGCUGUAUUUAGAUCCUCAUAGUGUGUAAUGAUGUGUGGUCUCUUUUGUCCUUGUCUUUACUGGGAAUCCACAUGGACAUAAUAACACAUUCUGUCUUUUACUUCCUAUCAAGUAUUAAGCCAGAUGGCUUUUCUCCCAGGCCGAAGAGUCUCAGGAUGACCUCUGAAAAGAACUGGGGCUCAUGUAGAUAGAAAAUAAAUGUGCCUUUUUCUUUUCCAAAACAGAGCACUUAUUGUUAUUAUUUAAAAUAAUUGACCUUUUUUCCUGAUAUGACUCGGAGAAGAGAUGAGUGAUUCGAUAUUGGAGAUCAUUCUAUGGGUUAAUCUCUCCAGUUUCCCAACUAAACCAAAGCAAAUAACCUUAGAAAGAAAUAUCUUAAGGGGUUCCCGUCGUGGCUCAGUUGUUAACCAAUCUGACUAGGAACUAUGAGGUUGCGGGUUCAAUCCCCGGCCUUGCUCAAUGGGUUAAGGAUCCAGUGUUGCCAUGAGCUGUGGUGUAGGUGGCAGACACAGCUCGGAUCCCAUGUUGCUGUGGCUGUGGUGUAGGCCGGAGGCUACAGCUCAGAUUCAACCCCUAGCCUGGGAGCCUCCAUAUGCCUUGAGUGUGGCCCUAGAAAAUACAAAAAAAAAAAAAAAAAAAAAAAAAAAAAA
rnacentral:lncRNA from 1 species